GGCAGUGUAGCAUAGCGGUAAGGAGCAGGGCUUGUAACCCAAAGGUUGCUGGUUCGAUCCCCCCCCGGAGCACUGCUG